UUAUUACAACUACUGUCAAGAAGGAUGGAAAAACCCUUUCCAGCUUGAAAACGUACUUUCUGGAAACAGUGCUGCAGAUCCUGGGAGGAUUAGUGAGUGGUCAUCUGUAGUAGGAGAGCAGUUAAUUUCGGAUGCUGUGUCAGAGAUUAGGGACAGUGGCAAAUUGUGUGCUGUGAUUGUGCAGUGGAACUAACCAUGCUGUGGAGACGUUCCCUAUGCAAGUUGUAUGAGGGCAGAUAAUGACAGGCAAGUGACUGCAACCCGAGGCGGUUGUGUCUAAAGUCAAAGGGAAAUUCAGUCAGCUUCACUUAAUAGCUAAAGAAUGAGAGGCCGAGGGUGGCAUUCCAGGCAGAGGCCUUGGGAGUGCAACUGGAAAGGAGAAGGGGCUGCAUGGGGC
rnacentral:lncRNA from 1 species